GGGACAUUGAUCUAGUGGUAUGAUUCUCGCUUAGGGUGCGAGAGGUCCCGUGUUCAAUUCGCGAAUGUCCCC
rnacentral:tRNA from 1 species